rnacentral:rRNA from 1 species
AUUGAACGCUGGGGCAGGCCUAACACAUGCAAGUCGAGCGGAUGACGGGAGCUUGCUCCUUGAUUCAGCGGCGGACGGGUGAGUAAUGCCUAGGAAUCUGCCAGGUAGUGGGGGACAACGUUUCGAAAGGAACGCUAAUACCGCAUACGUCCUACGGGAGAAAGCAGGGGACCUUCGGGCCUUGCGCUAUCAGAUGAGCCUAGGUCGGAUUAGCUAGUAGGUGAGGUAAUGGCUCACCUAGGCGACGAUCCGUAACUGGUCUGAGAGGAUGAUCAGUCACACUGGAACUGAGACACGGUCCAGACCCCUACGGGAGGCAGCAGUGGGGAAUAUUGGACAAUGGGCGAAAGCCUGAUCCAGCCAUGCCGCGUGUGUGAAGAAGGUCUUCGGAUUGUAAAGCACUUUAAGUUGGGAGGAAGGGCAGUAAGCGAAUACCUUGCUGUUUUGACGUUACCGACAGAAUAAGCACCGGCUAACUCUGUGCCAGCCGCCGCAGUAAAAC